AUGGCGGCGGUUGCGGGCGUCACCGGGAGCUCCAGAUCCGCGGCCUGCUGCGCCGUGCUGCUCGCGGCCGUGCUGUUCCUCUCCGCACCGGCCACCACAGAGGCUUAUGAUUCGCUGGAUCCAUAUGGCAACAUCACGAUAAAAUGGGACAUCAUUUCGUGGACUCCGGAUGGUUAUGUGGCAACAGUCACAAUUACCAACUACCAGCAGUUCCGAACCAUAUCUGCACCCGGGUGGCGGCUGGGGUGGUCGUGGCGAAAGAAAGAGGUCAUGGCGAUGGUGGGGGCUCGGGCAAUUAAGCGGGGCGAUUGCUCAAAAUUCAAGCGCAGCCGUCCCCAUUGCUGCAAGAGAGAUCCGACGAUUGUCGAUCUUCCUUCAGGCACCCCAUUCAACCAGCAAGUUGCCAAUUGUUGCAAGGCAGGAGUUCUAAAGACAUUUAACCAGGACCCAGGAAAUGCUGCUUCCUCCUUUCAGAUUGCUGUAGGUCUUGCUGGGACUACCAAUAGGACGGUUAUUUUGCCCAAAAAAAUCACUCUCAAGGCUCCAGGUCAGGGGUACACUUGUGGGCGUGCUCUUGUUGUCGUGCCUACCAAGUAUUCUUCCUCGGGCGGGCGCAGGGUAACCCAAGCUUUCAGAUUAGUGAAUGGAGUGAGACCAUUGAAACGAGAAGUGAUUUGUUCUUGA
rnacentral:rRNA from 1 species